rnacentral:rRNA from 1 species
GACGAACGCUGGCGGCGUGCCUAAUACAUGCAAGUCGAGCGGACUUUCAAGAAGCUUGCUUUUUGAAAGUUAGCGGCGGACGGGUGAGUAACACGUGGGCAACCUGCCUGCAAGACGGGGAUAACUCCGGGAAACCGGGGCUAAUACCGGAUAAUAUCUUCCUUCGCAUGAAGGAAGGUUGAAAGGCGGCGCAAGCUGCCGCUUGCAGAUGGGCCCGCGGCGCAUUAGCUAGUUGGUGAGGUAACGGCUCACCAAGGCGACGAUGCGUAGCCGACCUGAGAGGGUGAUCGGCCACACUGGGACUGAGACACGGCCCAGACUCCUACGGGAGGCAGCAGUAGGGAAUCUUCCGCAAUGGACGAAAGUCUGACGGAGCAACGCCGCGUGAGCGAAGAAGGUCUUCGGAUCGUAAAGCUCUGUUGUCAGGGAAGAACAAGUACCGUUCCAACAGGGCGGUACCUUGACGGUACCUGACCAGAAAGCCACGGCUAACUACGUG